rnacentral:rRNA from 1 species
CCCUUAGAUGUUCUGGGCCGCACGCGUGCUACACUGAGUGGAUCAGCGGGUCAGGUUGCGCGAAAGUGUUUCCUAAUCUUUAAAUCCGCUCGUGAUGGGGAUUGACGGUUGCAGUUUUCCGUCAUGAACGAGGAAUACCUUGUAAGCGCGGGUCAUCAUCCCGCGCUGAAUACGUCCCUGCCCUUUGUACACACCGCCCGUCGCUCCUACCGAUUGAGUGGUCCGGUGAGGCUUUGGGAUCUGGGCGGAAAGAGCGUUUCGCUGUUUCUGCCCGGAAAACUCAGUCGAACCUUAUCAUUUAGAGGAAGGAGAAGUCGUAACA